GCCCGGGUGGCGAAAUCGGCAGACGCAACGGACUUAAAAUCCGUUUUUCCGCAAGGAGAGUGCAAUCCGUUUUUCCGCAAGGAGAGUGCGGGUUCAAUUCCCGCCCCGGGCACCA
rnacentral:tRNA from 1 species